UAGACGUUUGAUCGUGAGCUCAGAACGCAACACGGAAGGCGCAUGGAUCUUAUCAGUGAGUGGCGAACGGGUGAGUAACACAUAGGACAACCUGCCUCAAGGCUGGGGAUAACAUUUGGAAACAGAUGCUAAUACCGAAUAAAACUUAGUGUCGCAUGACACAAAGUUAAAAGGCGCUUCGGCGUCACCUAGAGAUGGAUCCGCGGUGCAUUAGUUAGUUGGUGGGGUAAAGGCCUACCAAGACAAUGAUGCAUAGCCGAGUUGAGAGACUGAUCGGCCACAUUGGGACUGAGACACGGCCCAAACUCCUACGGGAGGCUGCAGUAGGGAAUCUUCCACAAUGGGCGAAAGCCUGAUGGAGCAACGCCGCGUGUGUGAUGAAGGCUUUCGGGUCGUAAAGCACUGUUGUAUGGGAAGAACAGCUAGAAUAGGAAAUGAUUUUAGUUUGACGGUACCAUACCAGAAAGGGACGGCUAAAUACGUGCCAGCAGCCGCGGUAAUACGUAUGUCCCGAGCGUUAUCCGGAUUUAUUGGGCGUAAAGCGAGCGCAGACGGUUUAUUAAGUCUGAUGUGAAAGCCCGGAGCUCAACUCCGGAAUGGCAUUGGAAACUGGUUAACUUGAGUGCAGUAGAGGUAAGUGGAACUCCAUGUGUAGCGGUGGAAUGCGUAGAUAUAUGGAAGAACACCAGUGGCGAAGGCGGCUUACUGGACUGCAACUGACGUUGAGGCUCGAAAGUGUGGGUAGCAAACAGGAUUAGAUACCCUGGUAGUCCACACCGUAAACGAUGAACACUAGGUGUUAGGAGGUUUCCGCCUCUUAGUGCCGAAGCUAACGCAUUAAGUGUUCCGCCUGGGGAGUACGACCGCAAGGUUGAAACUCAAAGGAAUUGACGGGGACCCGCACAAGCGGUGGAGCAUGUGGUUUAAUUCGAAGCAACGCGAAGAACCUUACCAGGUCUUGACAUCCUUUGAAGCUUUUAGAGAUAGAAGUGUUCUCUUCGGAGACAAAGUGACAGGUGGUGCAUGGUCGUCGUCAGCUCGUGUCGUGAGAUGUUGGGUUAAGUCCCGCAACGAGCGCAACCCUUAUUGUUAGUUGCCAGCAUUCAGAUGGGCACUCUAGCGAGACUGCCGGUGACAAACCGGAGGAAGGCGGGGACGACGUCAGAUCAUCAUGCCCCUUAUGACCUGGGCUACACACGUGCUACAAUGGCGUAUACAACGAGUUGCCAACCCGCGAGGGUGAGCUAAUCUCUUAAAGUACGUCUCAGUUCGGAUUGUAGUCUGCAACUCGACUACAUGAAGUCGGAAUCGCUAGUAAUCGCGGAUCAUCACGCCGCGGCGAAUACGUUCCCGGGUCUUGUACACAUCGCCCGUCACCCCAUGGCAGUUUGUACUGCCCAACGCUCAGAGUCCGAUCCUGCUCGAUCGAACCAAUGAGUCCAGAAGCU
rnacentral:rRNA from 1 species